CUUCUUUGAAACCACUCAUGAUAGAAGGGCUUCAUAUUUGCAGCAGCACUACUACAGUUGGCAGGAAUGUUGCUGCAGGAAAACAUCCCUGGAGAUCACCAUCAUUGUCAGACUGACUGUGCCUCCUCUGUGCAGUGUCAAGAUCCUCUCUAAAUGAGUGUUCCUCAGCUAUCCUGCUUCUGUGCUGCUUGCCACACAUCAAACACUGGCCGGAUGACAGGGAGGAUCCACUCUGAAGUCACUGGACAUGAUGAGGAUCAUAUGGGACUUCAUAGUUUCACAGAAACAUUGUGCUCUGUGAUUACAGGUUUUAAAUGGACAUAAUGACUGCCUCUCUC